CCGGACAUUGCAGAUGGAGAGAAGUUUCAACAGGCUUUGAAAAAUGCCAUGGCAAACAGUGUAAUAUUUUGUGGUGAUAAAACAAUAUUUCCUAGAUUUUAUUCACUCGGUCAAUAUAGUCGCACUGGCUGGCCAUUGCCAGCAAAGUUAUUUUCACAAUAUACAUGGCAUCAUUAUAGACAAUAUGAGAGGCCAUUAUGAGCAUACUUAAUUAGAAAUUCUUUUUUUUUAUUUAAUUUUUAGGAAAGGAAAAGAGAGCCAUCCGUCAAUUAACAUUAAUCUCUUCAAAACUUGAAAAAUGAGGCAACUUGGUGAGC
rnacentral:lncRNA from 1 species